GCCCGCAAGGUGUAACAGCAUUGCAUACGCCGCUUCUAACGGCCGUGGUUCCAGGUGCAAGUCCUGGUGCGGGCACCA
rnacentral:tRNA from 1 species